rnacentral:rRNA from 1 species
CCUACGGGAGGCAGCAGUGGGGAAUUUUGGACAAUGGGCGCAAGCCUGAUCCAGCCAUGCCGCGUGCGGGAAGAAGGCCUUCGGGUUGUAAACCGCUUUUGUCAGGGAAGAAAAGCUCUGGGCUAACACCUCGGGGUGAUGACGGUACCUGAAGAAUAAGCACCGGCUAACUACGUGCCAGCAGCCGCGGUAAU